rnacentral:rRNA from 1 species
ACGUACACUCCUGCGGGAGGCAGCAGUGGGGAAUAUUGCACAAUGGGCGCAAGCCUGAUGCAGCCAUGCCGCGUGUAUGAAGAAGGCCUUCGGGUUGUAAAGUACUUUCAGCGGGGAGGAAGGCAAUACGGUUAAUAACCGUGUUGAUUGACGUUACCCGCAGAAGAAGCACCGGCUAACUCCGUGCCAGCAGCCGCGGUAAUACGGAGGGUGCAAGCGUUAAUCGGAAUUACUGGGCGUAAAGCGCACGCAGGCGGUCUGUCAAGUCGGAUGUGAAAUCCCCGGGCUCAACCUGGGAACUGCAUUCGAAACUGGCAGGCUUGAGUCUUGUAGAGGGGGGUAGAAUUCCAGGUGUAGCGGUGAAAUGCGUAGAGAUCUGGAGGAAUACCGGUGGCGAAGGCGGCCCCCUGGACAAAGACUGACGCUCAGGUGCGAAAGCGUGGGGAGGAAACAGGAUUAGAUACCCGUGUAGUCCCAUGA